rnacentral:rRNA from 1 species
AUUGAACGCUGGCGGCAGGCCUAACACAUGCAAGUCGAACGAGUGGCGGACGGGUGAGUAAUGUCUGGGAAACUGCCCGAUGGAGGGGGAUAACUACUGGAAACGGUAGCUAAUACCGCAUACCAUCGGAUGUGCCCAUAUGGGAUUAGCUUGUAGGUGAGGUAACGGCUCACCUCGGCGACGAUCCCUAGCUGGUCGGAGAGGAUGACCAGCCACACUGGGAAGGAGCCACGGUCCUGACUCCGACGGGAGGCAGCAGUGGGGAAUAGUGAACAAUGGGCGCAAGCCUGAUGCAGCCAUGCCGCGUGUAUGAAGAAGGCCUUCGGGUUGUAAAUUACUUUCAGCGGGGAUGCGUUACCUGCAGAAGAAGCACCGGCUAACGCCGUGCCAGCAGCCGCGGUAAUAC